rnacentral:piRNA from 1 species
UAAAGUCUUGAACUGGAAUCGACUAUUGCCU